AGAAAAAACACAAAUCCGUUGUAGCAAAACUAAACUUGCCUUAUUUGUUAAUCCAGGUUUGCCUAUUUGCAACGGAAAAUACUUUUGGAUUUUUUUUUUAUAUUUUUCGUUUUUAUAUCCAUUUCAAUCACUAAUCACCCCUCAAGAUAUAAAUAUAUUAUUCAAGAAAAUAGAACACAAAUCCGCUGUAGUAAAAGUAAACUUGGCUAAUUUGUUCAUCCAGGUUCGACUCGUGGCAGCGAGAAUUACUUUUGGAUUAUUUUUUUUGUAUUUUUUGUUUUUUCUAUCUAUUUCCCUCACUAAUCACCCCUCAAGCUAAAAAUAAAAUUACUUAAAAAAUAAAAUACAAAUCCGUAGUAGCAAAACUAGUCUUGGCUAAUUUGUUCUUCCAGUUUUGAAAAUCGUUUUUAAACUUUUUUCUUCUUUCCAAUUUUGAUAUCUAUUCCACUCACUAAUCACCCAUAAAGAUAUAAAUAUAUUAUUCAAGAAAAUAGAACACAAAUCCGUUGUAGCAAAACUAAACUGGGCUAAUUUGUUCAUCCAGGUUUAACUCGUGGCAGCGGGAAUUACUUUUGGAUUAUUUUUUUUGUAUUUUUUGUUUUUUCUAUCUAUUUCACUCACUAAUUACCCCUCAAGCUAUAAUUAAAAUUACUUAAAAAAUAAAACACAAAUCCGUAGUAGCAAAACUAAUCUUGGCUAGUUUGUUCUUCUUUUUUUAAAAAUCGUUUUUAAACUUUUUUUUUCUUUCCAAUUUUGAUAUCUUUUCCACUCACUAAUCACCCAUAAAGAUAUAAAUACAUUAUUCAGGAAAAUAGAACACAAAUCCGUUGUAGCAAAACUUAACUUGGCUAAGCUGUUCAUCCAGGUUCGACUCCUGGCAGCGGAAAAUACUUUCGGAUUCUUUUUUUUCGAUUUUUCGUUUUUAUAUCCAUUUCAAUCACUAAUCACCCCUCAAGCUGUAAAUAAAAUUACUUAAAGAAAAAACAUAAAUCCGUUAUAGCAAAACUAUACUUGGCUAAUUUGUUAAUCCAGGUUCAAUUCUUGGGAGCGGAAAAUACUUUUGGCUAAACCUUAAACUUGAAGGAAAUUUUGUGAAAAACGUGUUCAUUUGAGCAACAUCUAUGACAUGCAAUUAACAAUUAAAGGCGGAAUCAUGUUUGUAUGCACUCAAAAACAAAAUAUUACACAUGAAAUUCAAAGCCUAGUAGUUAUGUGAACCAAGACUCAACUCAAGAACAAAGUGAGUUGAGAAAUUUUAUACCUUUGAAGCACCUCUUUGCUUAGCAAAGGUUAAUCACUCAUGUGAGGACCUUCUUUCCUUUGUUACCUUACUCCUUGGUUCCAUGGAUGUGGAUGGAGGAACUUUGCUUCUUGGCUCCAUGCCUUCUUGGAUAUGGAUGGAAGAAUUGGUUUCUCCAAAAGUCCCUAAAGUUGGAGACCUCUAAGUUCCGACACCAAGGAUGGUUGAGGAAGAAGAUGAGUGGCCAUGGAAGAGUUAGAUGCUAGUAAACUCUCCCAUGGUGGCCGACUAUUCUAGAGAGAAAAGAGAGAGUUUUUCUCACUUUUCAUCCUUAGAAAAACCCUAAUGAGGAUGGAGUAAAGAUACCCCUUUUAUGCUUUCAACUUUUUGUAUGCAUUUUAGACCAAAAUGCCCUUCCUCUCUCUAUGGCCGGUUUUCCCAAGCCUUUGGGCUGUUUUGGGCUUCUUGACUUUUGUUUGUUAAGUUGUCAUACAACUUAAGCUAAUGGGCUUGAUGAUUCGAAGCUCAAUUUGGGCUUUAAGGCCCAAAACUAACUCAAGGUUUAAAACGAACUUAUUCGUUUGAUUAAUUAACAUAUUAAUUAAUUCUUGCCAUAAACAAUUAAACCAUUUAAUUGUCCUUUCUCAUCUCCGUCAAAUCCUUCAAGCAUUAUCUUACAAGGUGUGCGAUCCAUUAGGUUCAUUUUAGUGAGGCAAUGGGCGAUUAGAACUCUUUCAAAUUGAUUGUGAAUUUAAACUUACUUUCAAUUCUCCAUUUAGUGAUUAUACAUGUUUAGGGCUUCCACAAACCAUGAGUGACACCUAGCAGUAUGUCAUGGUUACCUAAGCUAAUCAGAAGAGGUGGAGAACCUAUUCAGUUUAGGAUUACAAUGCAAUACGGUAUUUCUCUAAUACAAUACCCUUGACCACAUUGUUUGGUUUGAUAGUUUAUUCAUGUCUACUAUCCAAUGCGAUUCAUUUACUUAUAUGAUUACCUUGAAUGUGAUUUGGAACGACUUCCUAAAUCUCAUUCAUACUUUGGCCAGAGAUUUUUAAUCAUAUCAUAGAGUAUUCUCCCUCAAACAGUUUGAAGGUUAGAGAUCCCUUGUUGCGCAUUUACUUGUCUCCAUGGCUAAGUGGCUUAACCCCAACUAUGUCGUGGACACCCUCGGAUGGAGUGACUUUGGCAUAGUCAAAGAUCAAGGACCUAACCACAAGAUAACUAUGAUGCCUCAGGUCAAAGGACUACUUUGCAUUAUCGCAACCAUGAGUUCUCAUGUGACAUGAGUAUGAGAACUUCUUGUUGAUCGCGUUCAAUGAACUCAUUCUCUAUUGAGCACCUACGUACUUAUCUUGGUGUCAGUCACACCAAUGACUUGAGACCAGUCACUCUCCUUAAGAGAAGACAUAGCACGUACUGAUCUUAACGGACUGUCAAUGCCCAAUUGGCAAUCCUAUGAUCAGGAACGUUUAGAAUAUGUAUACGAAAGAGAAUGGUCUCAUGAAUCAAACUUUUUUAGAUCGCAUUCCCCUAAUUACAUAUUCCUUGGACUUAUUGUUUAAUCGUAUAACAUUUAUAUGAGAUGGCUUCAAACAAUAAUAUUUUCCCUUUAAAUUAAACUAUAUUAGUUUAACAUGUGAAAUGUCCGUAAAGUAUCAUCAUAUGAUUGGUUUUAGUGCACAUUUCCAACAAAACUAAACUUGGCUAAUUUGUUCAUCUAGGUUCGCCUCUUGGCAACGGAAAAUACCUUUGGAUUCUUUUUUUUUUGUUUGUAUUUUUAGUUUUUAUAUCCAUUUCAAUCACUAAUCACCCCUCAAGCAAUAAAUAAAAAUACUUAAAGAAAAAACACAAAUCUGUUGUAGCAAAACUAAACUUGGCUAAUUUGUUCAUCCAGGUUCAACUCUUGGCAGCGGAAAAUACUUUUGGAUUCUUUUUAUUGUAUUUUUCAUUUUUAUAUCCAUUUCACUCACUAAUCACCCCUCAAGAUAUAAAUAAAAUUACAAAAAAAAAAAACAAAAAUCCGUUGUAGCAAAACUAAACUUGGCUAAUUUGUUCAUCCAGGUUCGACUCCUGGAAGCGGAAAAUACUUUUGGAUUAUUGUUUUGUAUUUUUCGUUUUUCUGAUAUCUAUUCCACUCACUAAUCACCCAUAAAGAUAUAAAUACAUUAUUCAAGAAAAUAGAACACAAAUCCGCUGUAGCAAAACUAAACUUGGCUAAUUUGUUUAUUCAGGUUCAACCCCUAGCAGCGAAAAAUACUUUUGGAUUGUUUUUUUUUGUAUUUUUCAUUUUUAUAUCACUUCACUCACUAAUGACCCCUUAAGCUAUGAAUAAAAUUUCUUAAAGAAAAAAACACAAAUCCAUUGUAGCAAAUCUAAACUUGGCUAAUUUGUUCAUCCAGGUUCGUAUCUUGGCAGCGGAAAAUAGUUUUGGAUUCUUGUUUUUGUAUUUUUCGUUUUUAUAUCCAUUUCAAUCACUUAUCACCCCUCAAGUUAUAAAUAAAAUUACUUUAAGAAAAAACACAAAUCCGUUGUAGGAAAACUGAACUUGGCUAAUUUGUUCAUCCUGGUUCGACUCCUGGCAGCGGAAAAUACUUUUGGAUUAUUGUUUUAUAUUUUUCAUUUUUUUGACAUCUAUUCCACUCACUAAGCACCCAUAAAGAUAUAAAAAAAAUUAUUCAAGAAAAUAGAACCCAAAUCCGCUGAAACAAAACUAAACUUGACUAAUUUGUUCAUCCAGGUUCCACUCCUCGCAGCGGAAAUUACUUUCGGAUUAUUUUUUUUGUAUUUUUCAUUUUUUAUAUCUAUUUCACUCACUAAUUGCCUUCAAGCUAUUAAUAAAAUUACGUAAAAAGUAAAACACAAAUCCGUAAUAGCAAAACUUAUCUUGGCCAAUUUGUUCUUCUAGGUUUGAAACUCAAUUUUAAACUUUUUUCUUCUUUCAAAUUUUAAUAUCAAUUCCACUCACUAAUCACCCAUAAAGAUAUAAAUACAUUACUCAAUAAAAUAGAACACAAAUCCGUUGUAGCAAAACUAAACUUGGUUAAUUUGUUCAUCUAGGUUCGACUCCUGGCAGCGUGAAAUACUUUUGGAUUCUUUUUUUUGUAUUUUUCAUUUUUAUAUCCAUUUCACUCACAAAUCACCCCUCAAGCUAUAAAUAAAAUUACUUAAAAAAACACACAAAUCCGUUGUAGCAAAACUAAACUUGGCUAAUUUGUUCAUCCAGCUUCAACUUUUGGCAAUGGAAAAUACUUUUGGAUUCUUUUUAUUGUAUUUUCCGAUUAUAUAUCAAUUUCACUCACUAAUCAUCCCUCAAGCAAAAAAUAAAUUACUGGAAAAAAAAACAAAAAUCUGCUGUAGCAAAACUAAACUUGGCUAAUUCGUUCAUCCAGGUUUGACUCCUUGCAGUGGAAAAUUCUUUUUGAUCAUUGUUUUAUAUUUUUCGGUUUUUUGAUAUCUAUACCACUCACUAAUCACCCAUAAUGAUAUAAAUAAAAUUAUUUAGGAAAAUAGAACCAAAUCCACUGAAGCAAGAUUAAACUUGGCUAACUUGUUUAUCUAGGUUCGACUCCUGGCAGAGGAAAAUACGGUUUGAUAAUUUUUUUUUCUAUUUUUCGUUUUUAAUAUCUAUUUCACUCACUUAUCACCCCUCAAGCUAUAAAUAAAAUUACUUAAAAAAUAAAACACAAAUCCGUAGUUGCAACACUAAUCAUGGCUAAUUUAUUCUUCCAGGUUUGAAAAUCGUUUUUAAACUUUUUUCUUCUUCCCAAUUUUGAUAUUUAUUCCACUCACUAGUGACCGACAAAGAUAUAAAUACAUUAUUCAUGAAAAUAGAACACAAAUCCGCUGUAGUAAAACCAAACUUGGCUAAUUUGUUCAUCUAGGUUCGAUUCCUGGCAGGGAAAAAUACUUUUUGAUUAGUUUUUUUGUAUUUUUCGUUUUUUAUAUCUAUUUCACUCAGUAAUCGCCCCUCGAGCUAUAAAUAAAAUUACUUAAAAAAUAAAACACAAAUCCAUAGUGGCAACACUAAUCAAGGCUAAUUUAUUCUUCCAGGUUUUAAAAUUGUUUUUAAACUUUUUUCUUCUUUCCAAUUUUGAUAUGUAUUGCACUGACUAAUCACCGAUAAAGAUAUAAAUACAUUAUUCAUGAAAAUAGAACACAAAUCCGCUGUAGCAAAACUAAACUUGGCUAAUUUGUUCAUUCAAGUUCGACUCCUGGCAGCGAAAAAUACUUUUGGACUCUUUUUUUUGUAUUUUUCAUUUUUAU
rnacentral:lncRNA from 1 species